AUACCACAUCAUCGAAGGCGUGAAUGCUGGUGGAAGCACACAUCCGAAGGAGGGAGGGGGAUUAACAGCACAGCAAUGAGAGAGUGAGUGAGGAAAGUCGAGGUGACGACUUUGUUGGGUUGAGUGGAAAUGCAUCAAUGCCAUCAUCUAUAAUCGGUCUAGCUGCGUCUCCUCAUCUGGUCUUGCGGCCUUGACAGCUUACAAUAUGCCCCUCGUCCCUACCCCUACCCCUAACCCUCCCUCCCUCUCUAGCCCUAACUCUGCUCUUCCCUGCACUGCCGUGCCGUCCUCCUCCCCCUCCGCUCAUUUCCUCCUUCUUUAUUGCUCUCGUGACUCUCGCCACCCCUUCGCUUUCCCGAUGCCUGUAAUCUUACGAACGCAUCACUGCCAUCUCCACCCAAACGUCAUUUGCACUGCAACUUGCCCCUUCCCUCGCCUCUCGUUUCCCUGCCUGCCUGCGUCCCAGAUCAUAACAAUUUGUCACUAUCACGGCGUCCGGUUUUACGGAAGUUCCAGGAGUACGCAAGUGGAACUGAUGUGGGUGCGAAUUUUUUAUUCGGGAGCUUGUUUAUGAGCAGAUUUCCUCCUCCACUAGUGCAUGUGCGGUAUCCUUUAAGCUUAUCGUUCACACCAGCGUCGACUGCUCCGUCUGUGGACACACUUUCUUAUGAGGUGAAUGUUGUGGGCAGUCGCAUGUUUCAAAUGCUUGUGCAGAUGUAUGAGAUCAUAGUAAAAUGUGCCGAAGGUACUUGUACAAAACGCAGGAUCUGCAUCUGAUUUGGAAUGGGUACGCCAAUUCAUUAGGUGGACAUGAUGGACGUUAUCGUAGUGAAUUAUAGGUUCUCUUCUUUGAGCACCUGGGUAUUGCUAGAAAGAUACAUGUGUUGUGUAGGAUAGAAGAUGAUAUGCUUGCUCUAGCAAUGUAGAGAGGAGAGUGUAGAAUAGUCAAGAAAGUAAAUGUAAUGUACAAUUGUGAGUGUAGAAUAGUCAAGAAAGUAAAUCUAAUGUACUUUUGUGAA